AAGAGUUUGAUCCUGGCUCAGGAUGAACGCUGGCGGCGUGCCUAACACAUGCAAGUCGAACGAAGCGCCUGCGGCGGACCCCUCCGGGGGAAAGCCGCGGGGGACUGAGUGGCGGACGGGUGAGCAACGCGUGGGCAACCUGCCCCGUACCGGGGGACAACAGCCGGAAACGGCUGCUAAUACCGCAUAUUCCCGCGGGGCCGCAUGGCCCUGCGGGGAAAGCUCCGGCAGUACGGGAUGGGCCCGCGUCUGAUUAGCUUGUUGGCGGGGUAACGGCCCACCAAGGCUGCGAUCAGUAGCCGGCCUGAGAGGGCGGCCGGCCACAUUGGGACUGAGACACGGCCCAGACCCCUGCGGGAGGCAGCAGUGGGGGAUAUUGCACAAUGGGGGGAACCCUGAUGCAGCGACGCCGCGUGAACGAAGAAAUAUUUCGGUAUGUAAAGUUCUAUCAGCAGGGAAGAAAAUGACAGUACCUGACCAAGAAGCCCCGGCUAACUACGUG
rnacentral:rRNA from 1 species